UGUCAGCCUGCCACUGAUUUAAUUUAACUGGCAUGCAGUCGAUGGUUGGGGAUUUCUAGUUUCGCGAAUAUCUCUUCGGCAGAACUUUGGAUACUAUCCAUAUUAUAUAGAUCCACAAAAAAACAUGAGCAUGAAGUGGAGAGUAAUUGCUUCUAUACCAUUUCUAUACAUGACCUUCGUCUUUAAAGCGCGCGGAUAUGUUUCUUCUUAUUCAUGCAUCUCCUGCAAGAGUUUGGUGAAUGAAUCGUGUGGCGCUUUACCACAGGCCACAGAAGGUGAACACAUGGACCCAGUGUUCACCGUCGGGAACUCUACCGCACUGCUUCACUUACGUUUGGGCUGAACCUCCUGGCAUGCCAGUGGUGUGGCGGGGAUGCGGUGGCAGCAUUCCGUGCCGAUUGGUCCCUGGUGCUUCGGGUUCGCUGGCUCUGUGCGACGAAAACGAUCGACUGGCGCCCGUUUCCGGCGGGCUACACAAUCAGUUUCAGCCAUACCACGAAUGGAUUCGAUCCGGGGAUGAGCGGUCAGCCACGCUCCUCAGCUGCAACGCAAGCCAGAAAUGCAAUUUCCAGCCAGUUGGCGAUUUCCCCUUGAAAUUCGUCCGAUAUUUCCCAACAAAGACUGUCCAGGAAUACGUAAACAUGUUGCUACCAGCGCGACAAUAAUUCACUAUUCCCAGCGACGGUAUGCUGAAAACUAACAGCUGUCGUGAUUCGUGAAACCCUGGCCAGCCGAAUCGCCUCAUCAUUCUAUGACUGCCUUCAGAACCGAUUGGAUACAACCGUUACUUCCACGUCCACUCCAAUUUUUUUUAGAUUGUCUCUACAAUAAAUCGUAAUGUCUUUUUCUGCUUUGAUAGACCGUUACCUGACGUCUGAUUGCUUUUAUUGCUUUUCUAAAUAGUCCUGCCAAUAAACAGUCAUGAGUACAGUAAAACGCCAGAAAAGACAAAAGCCGCAGUGU